rnacentral:rRNA from 1 species
AUUGAACGCUGGCGGCAGGCCUAACACAUGCAAGUCGAGCGAGCGGCGGACGGGUGAGUAAUGUAUGGGGACUGCCCGAUAGAGGGGGAUAACUACUGGAAACGGUGGCUAAUACCGCAUACUAUCGGAUAACCCAUAUGGGAUUAGCUAGUAGGUAAGGUAAUGGCUUACCUAGGCGUCGAUCCCUAGCUGGUCUGAGAGGAUGCGCAGCCACACUGGGACGGAGACACGGCCCAGACUCCUACGGAGGCAGCAGUGGGGAAUAUUGCACAAUGGGCGCAAGCCUGAUGCAGCCAUCCCGCGUGUAUUAAGAAGGCCCUAAGGUUGUAAAGUACUGUCAGUCGGGAGGCGUUACCGACAGAAGAAGCACCGGCUAACUCCGUGCCAGCAGCCGCGGUAAUAC